GUGCCGUGCCAUGAGACGUCAAAGGGAUAUGCUAAAUUUCAAGAAAACUUGAAAUUUAACCUGUAAUAAACGAGAUACAUGACAGCUUUAAAUUCCAGCCAAAACAUACUGGCAUUUACCAAAUUUGGAGAGGAAGACAGUGCACUUCAGAGUGUAAGUUAGUUUUUUGUUUUGGAAUGAUGAAGAUUUUACUGUAAUUGUCAGUCACAUGCUUGCAAAUUGCAUAACAAAGCUUUUAUUAUUCCACUUCUUUUUUUUUUUUUUUUUUUUUUUUGAAGCAUGGAAAUUGAGGUUGAGAUGCUCUUUCAAUUCUUAAAUGUUUGGAUAGUUAAUGGUUUGGACCAUUUCAGAGAGGAACAGAUGGUAUGGAUUUAUUUGGUUCCUACUGAAGGGUGCUCCUGGUAGCUGCUGACAUGGGAAGCAAACAAAUGAAGCUUGAAAUGGAGGAAUAGCUUAAGACUAAAUUUGUAACCACUAACUUUUUGUUUCUUUUCCUUGCUAAGUAAAGGACUUCAUGAAAGCUGCACAUAUGAAUGAAGCAUAUAUUUUUACCAAUUUAGGUUAUAAAUUGCUGCCAUCCCAAUCCAUGAAGGAGAAAGACACAAAUGUUUAAAAAUGUCACUUAACAAAGCAUUAUUCCAUUUCUAAGAGUGCAAAAGGAUGGAAGCAAAAUCUACAGCCACCUGUGUGGACAUUUCUUGAGCAAGCCAAAUAGUUUUCUAUCAAACUGGAAAUAGGGCAAUGUUGUCAUCUGAUGGAAAAUGGAACAUCCAACUGAAGUUAAAAUGAAGAUACUCAAACUGAAGAUUCUUCUACAAGACUGAACACUCAAAAUCGCUCUCUGCACUCCAUCCAUAGUCUAUAAAAGCCAGCACAGACAGGAUUACAAGAGGAGAAAUCUUCUCUGUUAACACAAUGUUGGCCAAUGUUUGGGACUUCGCAAUAUCUGGUUCAACAAACAAACCACAGAUGAGUCUGGAAAAAAAUAGCAACAAAUUCCAGCAGAUGGACAAAAAUUGGAAAAAAUACCUUCAGAAGAACAGACCACACAAGGUGUGUAUAAGCCCGUUUUGUUAUCUUCACUACUGAUAGUGUUAUCUAGAUCUAUGAAUAAGAUGCUGUGAAAUGGUUCACACUUCUGAAAGGGGGAAUAGCUUUGAAGUUUCUACUCAUCACUAAAUAGGAUUUAUG
rnacentral:lncRNA from 1 species